CCAUCCUGCCAAAAGAUUUCAUCUCAUUCAGGAAAAUUUAAGAUGUCUUAGCUGCAGACACACAAUGACAGCCAAAGGAUCACUCACUGAGGUGAAGCCAGUCACCAUGCUGUUAUGACACUCAAGCAGCGCAGUGGCGAAGCCCCUGUGAGGAGGAACUGAGAUCUCCAGCCAUCUGUUUGACUGCCACCUCAUUAGAGACCCCAAUCUAGAACCACCGAGCUAGGCCACCUCCAGAUACCUGACCCCGAUACAGUAUAAGAAAAUAAAAAUAUGUUGUUUAAAGUUG